rnacentral:lncRNA from 1 species
UAGGUUACAAAAAUAUCUCUAUUUAAAAAAAAAAUACUUUAAGUAUAAGAGUACUUUAGUAAUUUUAAAAUUUAAUUUAAAUAAAAAAUAAAAAAAGUUAGUUAUUCAUUAAUUGUUUUUUAAAAUAAAAAAUAAAAAGAAAAGUAGUUAUUCAGAAUAAUAUUGAAAAUAUAUAUACAAGAGAGUUUACUUGUCAUCGAGC